rnacentral:rRNA from 1 species
GACGUAGGAUCCAAGCGUUAUCCGGAAUUACUGGGCGUAAAGGGCGUGUAGGAGGUUGGGCAAGUCGGCCAUGAAAGCUCCCGGCUCAACUGGGAGAGGCUGGUCGAUACUGCCUGGCUAGAGGGCAAGAGAGGGAGGUGGAAUUCCCGGUGUAGUGGUGAAAUGCGUAGAUAUCGGGAGGAACACCAGUGGCGAAGGCGGCCUCCUGGCUUGUACCUGACUCUGAAACGCGAAAGCAUGGGUAGCAAACAGG